rnacentral:tRNA from 1 species
GGCUCAAUGGUCUAGUGGUAUGAUUCUCGCUUUGGGUUAUGACUCGAAUUUGCGAGAGGCCCCGGGUUCGAAUCCCGGUUGAGCCC